rnacentral:rRNA from 1 species
CAGCAGGCGCGCAAAUUACCCACUCCCGGCACGGGGAGGUAGUGACGAAAAAUAACGAUACGGGACUCAUCCGAGGCCCCGUAAUCGGAAUGAGCACACUUUAAAUCCUUUAACGAGUAUCCAUUGGAGGGCAAGUCUGGUGCCAGCAGCCGCGGUAAUUCCAGCUCCAAUAGCGUAUAUUAAAGUUGUUGCGGUUAAAAAGCUCGUAGUCGGACUUGUGUCACACGCUGCCGGUUCACCGCCCGUCGGUGUUUAACUGGCAUGCACGUGCUGACGUCCUGCCGGUGGCCCAAGCGGGUCCGGGAGCUCUGGGUGCGGGAUUCCCUUCGGGGGCCCGCCUCGAACCCGGUGUCCUGGGAGGGCCUACUCAUACCCCUCGCGGUGCUCUUAACCGAGUGUCUCGAUGGGCCGGCACGUUUACUUUGAACAAAUUAGAGUGCUUAAAGCAGGCAGCAUCCGCCUGAAUACUGAGUGCAUGGAAUAAUGGAAUAGGACCUCGGUUCUAUUUUGUUGGUUUUCGGAAUCCCCGAGGUAAUGAUCAAUAGGGACAGACGGGGGCAUUCGUAUUGCGACGUUAGAGGUGAAAUUCUUGGAUCGUCGC